AUGGCUGUCGUCAGCUCGUGCCGUGAGGUGUUGGGUUAAGUCCCGCAACGAGCGCAACCCCUACUGUUAGUUGCCAUCAGGUUAAGCUGGGGACUCUAACAGGACUGCCUACGCAAGUAGAGAGGAAGGUGGGGACGACGUCAAGUCAUCAUGGCCCUUACGCCCAGGGCUACACACGUGCUACAAUGGUGCAUACAGAGGGUUGCGAGCUGGUAACAGUAAGCCAAUCUCAAAAAGUGCAUCUCAGUUCGGAUUGAGGUCUGCAACUCGACCUCAUGAAGUUGGAAUCGCUAGUAAUCGCGUAUCAGCAAUGACGCGGUGAAUACGUUCCCGGACCUUGUACACACCGCCCGUGGGGCGGGGGCGGCGGGCCGGGCGCGGGGCGCGGCGGGCGAAGGGCG
rnacentral:rRNA from 1 species